rnacentral:rRNA from 1 species
UACGGGGGGGGCAAGCGUUGUUCGGAAUUACUGGGCGUAAAGGGCUCGUAGGUGGCCAACUAAGUCGGACGUGAAAUCCCUCAGCUUAACUGGGGAACUGCGUCCGAUACUGGAUGGCUUGAGUUUGGGAGAGGGAUGCGGAAUUCCAGGUGUAGCGGUGAAAUGCGUAGAUAUCUGGAGGAACACCGGUGGCGAAGGCGGCGUUCUGGACUGUUUCUGACACUGAAUAACGAAAGCCAGGGGAGCAAACGGG